AAAGGAGAGGUCAGUUCUAUCUGCCUGAAACACCACAGAGGAAAAGGAGAGGUCAGUUCUAUCUGCCUGAAACACCACAGAGGAAAAGGAGAGGUCAGUUCUAUCUGCCUGAAACGCCACAGAGGAAAAGGAGAGGUCAGUUCUAUCUGCCUGAAACGCCACAGAGGAAAAGGAGAGGUCAGUUCUAUCUGCCUGAAACGCCACAGAGGAAAAGGAGAGGUCAGUUCUAUCUGCCUGAAACAUACUCAGAUAGACCCCAGGCAGGGGACAUGUCAAUCUAAUAUAAUAUGUAUUCCAUUUAGCAGAUACUUUUAUCCAAAGUUACUUACAGUACAUUCUUAGAAAAAAGGGUUCCAAAAUGGUCCUUCGGCUGCCCCAUAGUAGAAGCCUUCUUGGUUCCAGGUAGAACCAUUUUUGGUUCCAGGUAGAACCCAUUUGGGUUCCUUGUAGAACACUCUGUGGAAAGGGUUGUACUUGGAACGCAAAAGGGUUCAACCUGGAAUCAAAAAGGGUUCUCCUAUGGGGACAGUAAAAGAGUGUAGUGUAGUUUUUUCUAAGAGUGUAGCGUGUGCACAGAAUUACAUAUAGAAACCACUUUCUAUUUAAUAGGAUCUGUGUGUCAGUACAUACAUUAUUUGUAUGGGUGGCCAAGUUUGAAACGAAUCCACAACUCUGACAUUGUAAGUGCCAUGCCCUACACACUAAGCUACAAAGGGAUCGCCAUGUACAGUUCAAAACAUUUAAAAUACUCUCGUGGAGUAAUGUCAAUCAGAAAUAUUCUGACAAUAACCCAUGUAAUGAAACACAUUUCUUAAUGUGUUUUAUACUGAACAAAAACAUAAACUAAACACAACAUGUAACGUGUUGGUCCCAUGUUUCAUGAGCUGAAACAAAAGAUCCCAGAAAUGUUCCAUACGCACAAAAAUAUUAUUUUUCUAAAAUGUUGUGCACAAAUUUGUUUACACCCCUGUUACUGACCACUUCUCCUUUGCCAAGAUAAUCCAUCCACCUGUCAGAUGUGGCAUAUCAAGAAGCUGAUUAAACAGUAUGAAGUUUUGUCGCACUACACAAUGCCACAGAUGUCUAAAGUUGAGGGAGCAUGCAAUUGGCAUGCUGACUGCAGGAAUGUCCACCAGAGCUGUUGCCAGAGAAUUUCAUGUCCAUUUCUCUACCAUAAGCCGCCACCAACGUCGCUUUACAGAAUUUGGCCUUACAUCCAACGAGCCUCCGAGCGGUUUGCUCAUGUCAACGUUGUGAACAGAGUGCCCCAUGGUAGCGGUGGGGUUAUGGUAUGGGAAAACAUAAACUACGGACAAUGAACACAAUAGCAUUUCAUCGAUGGCAAUUUGAAAGCACAGAGAUACGAGAUCCUGAGGCCCAUUGUCAUGCUAUUCAUCUGCUGCCAUCACCUCAUGUUUCAGUAUGAUAAUGCACGGCCCCAUGUCGCAAGGAUCUGUACACAAUUCCUGGAAGCUGAAAAUGUCCCAGUUCUUCCAUGGCCUGCGUACUCACCAGACAUGUCACCCAUUGAGCAUGUUUGGAAUGCUCUGGAUCUACGUGUACGACAGCGUGUUCCAGUUCCCGCCAUUAACCAGCAACUUCGCACAGCCAUUGAAGAGGAGUGGGACAACAUUCCACAAGCCACAAUCAACAGCCUGAUCAUCUCAAUGCGAAGGAGAUGUGUAGCGCUGCAUGAGGCAAAUGGUAUUCACAGCGGAUACUGACUGGUUUUCUGAUCUGUGACCAACAGAUGCAUAUCUGUAUUCCCAGUCAUGUGCAAUCCGUAGAUUUGGCCCUAAUUUAUUUAUGUCAAUUGACUGAUUUCCUUAUAUGAACUGUAACUCAGUAAAAUCUUUGAAAUUGUUGCAUGUAGCGUUUUAUAUUUUUGUUCAGGGUACAUCCUGUGUAAACAUUAUGCUAACCUGUAUGAAGGUAAAAAGGAAUCCAAAAUACUUCAGUGUCCAGCACUAGCGACUGUUCGCUAGCGACUGUUCAAACGCAUGGUGUACUUCCCGUCGUGUCGAGAGAACUGCUAUCUGCGAACCAAUACCUAAAUCAAACGUUAUCUGUGUAGCUAGUGGCUCCUGGCAGUAGAGGAAGAGUUCACUGGGUUUGUGGUACCUGACACUGAAACAUUAGGUCAAACACACAGAGGACGGGCAAGCCGGACCCAGACAUGACAUAAGCCUCUCACACUAAAUCCCCAACAGCUGCACUCAUCCUACUGUAGUCUGUCUCUCUCGGUUUCUCUCUCUCA